GUGACGUGACCGCGGCUUCCGCUCUUCCUACGCACGGCGCUUCCAGUCGCUGUAGAAGCCGACUGCUGCUCGGAAAGGGUGGUGGAGCUGUCUAGCUAGUUGCACCGCUACCAAGCGAAAUGGGAGUCGAGAUCGAGACAAUAACUCCGGGUGACGGGAGGACUUUCCCCAAGAAAGGACAGACCUGCGUGGUGCAUUAUGUGGGGUCCCUGACAGAUGGAAGAAAGUUUGACUCUUCACGUGACAGAGACAAGCCCUUCAAGUUUAAGAUAGGCAAACAGGAAGUGAUCCGUGGCUGGGAGGAAGGUGUUGCGCAGAUGAGUGUUGGCCAAAGGGCCAGGCUGACCUGCACUCCUGACUUUGCCUACGGCAGCAAAGGCCACCCAGGGAUCAUUCCCCCCAAUGCCACCCUGAUCUUUGAUGUGGAGCUACUGAGCCUUGAGUGAAUCCCUGUUCCUUCUACACCCAUCCUGUCUCUUUCCACUUUUGGGCAAGUCCUUAUGUUGACUCCUAUCUUGAAUAUGGGGAUAAAGCUAGGAGUGUUAUGCACUUGUUUCUAUAAAGGUCUUCAAUCUAUUUCCUUCUGUUUUGGUCAUCUUAUCCAUAUAGAAUAAUCUGCAUUGUUUCUUUCUCCUACAAAUAAGAAAUCUAUGGGCCAUAACCUUACAAACCUCAAAAGUUCUUAAUCUUGAAUUGUGCUUUUGUUUUGCUUUUUUGUGUAAAAUUUGUGCAUGAUCAAGCAUACCAUUGACACAUUUUACAGCAGUGGCAUGUCAAGAUGUGUAUAGAUUUGCUUGUUUGCCCUAAAUGCAUUCAAAGACACAGUUGGGGGGAGCAAUCUUAAACAAAAUUAAAAAAGAAAAGCACAGAUAUGGUCUUGAGUGUUUCACCAUGUCCAAGUUCUGAGAAAAUUGACCUGUUUGGCUUGAAAGGUGUCAGGCUAAUAUAGGGCUUGGCAGAGAAAGUGAGAUCAAGAUGUAGUAAUACAAUCAUUACCAACUGCCUUACCUGUACAGGGCAACUCUGAGCCUUUUAGAUUUGCUUCUCAUGUAAUGAUCCACUUUUAAUGCCACCUCACCGAACAUGACUGCCCUCUGCAGGCAACUGCACGCGAGUGUCGCACCAUCUGAAUGUGGUGCUGGGAUCCCUAGUGCCUGACUGGAGAAAUGCAUUACUGUAACUGCAAAGCCAUUUUAUUGGGGGGGAUCCACGGCGGGGUCGUCCCUGUGUAGAGAUGCAUAUACAUAACCAUAAAUACAUUUAAACAAAUGGGGUUGGGUUUGGUCUUUGGACUGGUGCUUAUGGGAGGAAGGAAUACAACCCAAAUAGAAUCUUAGCUGCAACCUUAUCUCCACCAUCCUAGUCCUGCAGUUGCCAUGAGAAAUUGUUUUCUGAUGCCAACUUUAAAUAAAUACCAAAUUAAGUUGUACAUGCAUUCUGUGUUGCUGAAUUAGUCGGACUACAGUGCUCAUGGAGUAUUAUGGUCUGGGUUGAGUCUGAAACCUGAAAAUUAGGUGCAGAGAGAAUAAUAAACUGCUUAAGGAGAGUUCUGUGCCGUUAGGCCCUUCUAGGGCGGGGGUUGUCCCUUCAACCGCAGAAUACUUAUCUGAAAUGUAAUCGAUGCUCAAGAUCUGUAGUUCUCUGCCUGUCUGUGGAGGGUUUUGGCAUCUUUAUAGAUGAAUAAAAAUGCAGCAUGUGGCCUUUUUGCUGCAGCUGUGUGGGUGAGUGUGUUGAAUUAAAAAGCUGGAAAAUACAGGUUCCUACAAUAAAGCACUUCCGGCACCCCUUUUUUUUUGUUUUUGGCACUGCACUGCGCUCUGUGGCAGCGUAUUGGGGAAACAUUCAUCGUUACAUCAGGGAUUGCGGCGCUUUAGUCACUUCCAUGUGGAAUCGAAUACGGGGCUUAAUAUGGUCAAAUUGAAGUGUACCAUACAGCUUUGGGUCUGGUGCAGCUACCAUUUCAAACCUAAUAGAUUUGUGCCCUCAUGGGUGGUAAAAUCUUCACCAGGCAUUUGUGUUUCAGCCAUUUUGACAGUCUUGCAUCUCUCCUCAGGGUGUCAUUUCAGGUUUCUGUGUUUCGUGCUUCUCCAUGGCCCCUCAUUACAUAAUCAGAGCCAGGAAGCAGGAAAAAAAAAACGAUUUCCAUUGUUUUGGUAUCUGUUGAGGGUUUUGUUUAAACAGGAAAGUAUGUGUGAGGUCGGAAUAAUUUAGGGCUUUUCUUCUCUGUGGGAUUCCCAACGUAACAUAAGUUUUCCAAUCCACAAGUCACAUUGUUCUUUCCUCAGGAAUGUGAACUUCCUUUUUUCUUCAUCUCCUGCUCCUGUCAUAUUCUUUGCCACACUUUAUAGCUCAUAUUUCUGCUUCCAGUCUCUCAGUUCUUCUAUUUUUGUUCCUGGGAUUGUUACAUUUUCGACAAGGAUCUAGGUUUUGCUUUGAGCCAUAACCUGUAUCAUGCCUCCUUAUAUAGGUUCAUAGUUUUUCCUUUUGCAGUACAAGAUAUUUCCUUGCUGAAAGACCCUGGUGUCCAUAACCAGGAGGUUGGCCAGCUUGGCAGCUGUUAGCUGUUAUUUCCCCACAGGAAACAUGAAAGACAAUGCAAGUUGUUGACUCGCUAUGUGUGUUAAUUAUAUCUUGGCAAGAAAACGCCUUAUAAAAAUCAAUUGAUACAUGUA